UACGGAGGAUGCAAGCGUUAUCCGGAAUGAUUGGGCGUAAAGCGUCCGCAGGUGGCAAUGUAAGUCUGCUGUCAAAGCGUCUGGCUCAACCAGAUAAAGGCAGUGGAAACUACAUAGCUAGAGUAAGGUAGGGGUAGAGGGAAUUCCUGGUGUAGCGGUGAAAUGCGUAGAUAUCAAGAGGAACACCUGAGGUGAAGACGGGUUGCUGGGCUGACACUGACGCUGAGGCGCGAAAGCCAGGGGAGCAAACGGG
rnacentral:rRNA from 1 species